rnacentral:rRNA from 1 species
UGGGGAAUUUUGGACAAUGGGGGAAACCCUGAUCCAGCCAUCCCGCGUGUGCGAUGAAGGCCUUCGGGUUGUAAAGCACUUUUGGCAGGAAAGAAACGUCAUGGGUUAAUACCCCGUGAAACUGACGGUACCUGCAGAAUAAGCACCGGCUAACUACGUGCCAGCAGCCGCGGUAAUACGUAGGGUGCAAGCGUUAAUCGGAAUUACUGGGCGUAAAGCGUGCGCAGGCGGUUCGGAAAGAAAGAUGUGAAAUCCCAGAGCUCAACUUUGGAACUGCAUUUUUAACUGCCGGGCUAGAGUGUGUCAGAUGGAGGUGGAAUUCCGCGUGUAGCAGUGAAAUGCGUAGAUAUGCAGAGGAACACCGAUGGCGAAGGCAGCCUCCUGGAAUAACACUGACGCUCAUGCACGAAAGCGUGGGGAGCAAACAGG